GGGUUAUACAUCAAAACUGCCAUUGGCGUAGGGAAAGAAGGUAGACACAAAGGUCACAUUAUAUGAAAUCAAAAAUAGAUUAACUCAGCAGAAUGCAGACGUGUUCACCAGGGGCAUGGAGAAGGGACAAUGGGAGAAACUGCUUUGUGGGUAAAGGGGGUUUUACCUCCAAGUAAGAGAGCAUUUAGGAGCUAGACAGAGGUGGGGAUUUGUAUAAUAUUGUGAAUGCACCACAUAUUUACCUUAUAAUGGCUAGUUUUAUGGUAUAUAAAUUUUAUUUCAGUGAACCAUUUUUUAAGCAGAAAAAGAAAAAUUCUUUUCAGGUGAAGAAGUUGAAAUAAGAUGUUUUACUAGAAACUGAAAUUUAGGCAUUUUGUGGUUAAUUUUUAGGUAAACCCUAAAAUUGUUAGACAUGCCAGCCAGAAUUUGGUUUUUCUCACCUGAGGAACAAAGGGACAGCUUUAUUCAGGGCCUCUGCAUGCCUCUGUUCGCUCCAUGUGCCCAGGUGGCCACUGGUGCUGCUAGAAACAGCAGCCUCCUGCAGGGCGGGACAGGACGGGACUGGACGGGACUGGACGGGACUGGACGCCCAGCCUCCGUUUGCAGGAAUCCCACAGCUGCCUCCAGGGCUGGCCCCUCUGCUUUAGAAAGACUGAUAAAGGGAGGGGAUUUGUUUAUAUUCCAAUAUUCCUAAAGUGUAUGCACAUGCGUGUGUAUGUACGUGCGUGAGUAUGCAUGUGUAAGGUUUCAGAGUUGGCAGACCCAAAACCCUUUAAUAAAUCAGGGAUAACACUAUUUUCAUCUCUUCCUUUGUGUUGGGGUUUGGAGGAUAUAGGAAGUACGUGAGUUCUAUUUGUUUUAGCACCAGCUUCUGUCAUCAGCAAAGAUUUUUUUCCCACCCUGCCUUGCCACAUGGAUAAUUAUAUUCAUCCUCAUGGCCUUCAGAUGAGAAGGAAGAUGGAGAUCGCAGUUGUGUGUUCAUACAUUUGCUGUUUUCCCCAUCAUCAACAAGUUCAGCACUGGCCACUCUUGUCUGUGAGCUUCCAUUGGCCUGAGUCCAUGGAUAGUCACUGCGUGCCUACUGCCCUGUCACCAGUGCUGUCAAGUCUCAUGGGUUAAGAACAUGACUUGCUCCUCCCUACAUUCUAGCUUGGUGUUACUUCUCUUUCUUCAUCAUCCAGGAACAUUAAUUGGACAUCUAUUAUAAGCAAGGCCCUGUGUCACACUAAGUCAGAACUUUGCCCUUCAACGCGUCAAGUAAGGAAGAUAAGAUGAAAGUCACUGUGGAAAAGAUGACCUUAGUUGAAUUGGAUGAUAUAAAAAUUUUGUUGAUAAAGCCAUUUUAUUCCCUAGUCAUGCCUCUUUUAUAGCUUUGGGCAGUUUGUCUAGAACCUUUUCCAUGGUAGAUUUCAUGACUGUAAAUCUCCUUUAGCACUGAGUGUGGUGGCACACACCUUUGAUUCCUGCACUCAGGAGGCAGAGUCAGGUAGAUCUCUGUGAGUUUCAGGUCAGCCUGGUCUACAGUGUGAGUUUCAGGACAGCCAUGGCUCUGUUGUUACAUAGGGAAGCCCUGUCUCGGAAAACAGGCAGACAGAAAUCUCCUUUAUUUGCAUUUCCUUCCUUGGUACAUAUUUGCAGGUGUGUGUGCUCAUGUGUUCUUGUCUCACUGUCCGUGCUGAGUAUCCUGCUCACUCACUCUGCCCUGUAUUUGAGACAGGCUUUCUAGAGCACCUGGAGAUGGCCAGUUUGGAAAACCUGGAUGGCAGGUGAGCUUCCGAGAUUCUGCUGCCUCUGUCUCGCUGUGCUAAGAUUAUAGGUCAGCAGUAACUGGGCCCUGCUUUUUACGAGGGUGCUGAGGAUUCAAACUCUAAUGCUUAUGCAUUCUCAAGAAGCAUUUACUGAAUAAGCCAUCUUCCCCAAACCUUUGAAUACAUAUUCUUUCUCAGAGAAGUUUGCACUGGUUGGUUAUUUGUUUAGUAGACUUUUUGUCCUAAAAAGCAUUCCACAGACUAGCUCUGAUUUGCUUUGAUUAUUGGCUUCCCUCUGCCCUCUAAAGAACCAUUUUCCUGCCCUACAGCCCAGAUACAUCCAUUUAUAUAUCAUGAGUAUGGAACAUUUUCCCCCACAGAGUACUGAUGUCAAGUAAUUGGGUUGGCAUUCUCAAGCCACCUCUUAAUUGUGUGACCAUAGGAGAUGGUAUGUAAACCCCCAAGGCUGCCCAGCUAGCUCAUGAUAAAAGGUGGCCUGGGCCACCUAAUGGCCAUGCAGUUUUAUUGAGAGCUUCCCCUCCUUCUGAGCUGCCUGCUGUGAUGGUCACUUUGAUGAUGGGACUACAACUCCCUGAGAUAUAGGCUGCAAACAGCCUCCUCAUAUAAUGAUAGAACACACAUGGCUGCUGGCAGUGGGAGAUGUAUGAAUAUUAAUGAACUGUAUUUCACUUUUACUACCUUUUCAUUAGUUUUCAUGGAGAUGGUGUUUGUGAGUGAAGUGCAUGAGCUAUGGGUGUUUGUUUUCUUGACAAAAUGGAGAGCCUCAUAGUCAGAGGCCAAGGCAGGAGAAGCAGACAGCCAGCAAAGUGUGGAGGAACAUUAGCAAGCCAUGAAACAAACCUGUGAGUUUCCCUAUUUUCCUUCAAUCUUAGACAGAUGCGUGCCACAGUCCCUGAAGUUUUACAGGGCAUCUCUCAUGUGAUAGUGAGAAACUUUUAUUCUAAUAAUCUGGGUGCAAAUAGUAUACUGUGGCAGCUAUCUGUCCUUGUAAGUGGUUCUGAUCCUGAAGUUUACAUGCCAAACUUCAGCCACCUACCCACUCUGUACCCCUCAGCCCUCAUCUGCUGUCUGAUGUCUUUCUACCAAACUGAAGCAGACACUGCCUCCAGUCUGCCACAUUGUGACAUUGUGGGGUUUGAUGGGCAAGGCUGGAUGUACAGGAAUGAUGGGAUUACCAAGUAAGGAGACUUGUCCACAUUGCUGAACAGUGGAAAAGGGAUGCCUUGAAACCCAGAUUGACAAACAAGAGGUGCCCACAUGGUUCUAGGACCAGAAUGGCUCUGGGCUAGGCAGAAGUGACCCCUCAACGUAGGAAUGCCUAUCUCUCUGACCUUCCUUGCCUUGGGGAGAGACACCUGUUGGACCACUAAGCUGUGCAUUGCUGGAAUGAGGAGUCUAAGUUACAUGGGUGGAGUGAUGGUAGGUGUCCAUCAGUGGGCUAGAUGACAGAGCCACAUUCCUACCCCUAGCUGGUGUCAUUUGAAGAAUGUGAAAACAUGCAUGACUUUGUCAGGGUGGAGCAUGACAAAUUAUUUCAGAGAUGGAGGGGGCAGAUUGAACUUAACACAUUUACUUCAUGAGCGAGAACGAGCAAAGGAACUUCGCUAAUUCCAUGUGCCUGUUUCUGCAGGAUGAAUGAGAGCCUGGCAAACUCUAAGUCCUGAGUGAGGUAGCCCACUCAGACUGACCCAUUCUGAUUAUUUAUUGAUUAGGUGGGAAAGAUGCUUUCUUUCUUUUCUAAGUCCAAGUUUCUUCUCACCUUAGGAUCAGUUUUUCAAAGAUAGCACUCAGUAUUUCUAAAAAGUGACUUGUUUUAAAGUUGGAUUAUCAUUCUUUUCAUAUAUUGAACUUGAAACAGCAUUUUAGUGCCUACUGCAUGAGGAAUACAUGUGUGAUAGGAAUUAUUAGAGAAUAAAAGUACUGAUACGGACAAAUUUCUAAGGGCCUGACAUGUAUUUAUCUCAGUGUCAUAAUGUAAAUACUCUAUUUUUUUCUAGACAGAUAUUUAAUUAGAUGACACCAAUGGCCCCUUUAGCCUUCUGUUUCAGCACAGAGGAUGAAAGACAGCGGCAUUCAGUAAGCACCUGCCAAAGCCAGGGGCCUCAUUUGUUUCUCAAGGUGGCAAUUAUCAUUCCCAUCUAGUAGCUGAGAAAAGUAGUCGCUAGCAUGCUGUACAACUGGAAUCCAAGGAGGCUGUCUGUUCCUCUUGCCAGAGGGUGUGUUUCUCGAGUUGAAAUUUUUUUCUCAUCCUUAGCAUUGCCAUUAUGAGUUUUAUGAAAUGUGUUCAAACACACAGAUAUAUGUAUAUAGUAUAUUGGAUUCACCUUGCUUUAAAGCUAAUAGGUUCCAGGCAUACAAGUGCAUUCAUCAACAAGCACAUAGCAUUCUAUGUGUGUUCAGUACCUUUUUCAUACCAGACAUGUUUCUUAUACUAUCUGUUCUUUGAGACUUUGUAGAUAAUGUCUUCUGAGAAAAUAAGCUCAAAGGGGUGGGGUAAAAUUGUCCACAAUCCCAUAGCUGCUAAGUGAUGUAGAGCCUACCUUUCCGCCUCAAAGUGGUUUGUUCUCCCAGAGUGGUUGGUCUCUGAUUCUCCUAGGGUU
rnacentral:sRNA from 1 species